GACGAACGCUGGCGGCGUGCUUAACACCUGCAAGUCGAACGAAGUGGCGAACGGGUGAGUAAUACGUGGGUAACCUGACCUCCUGGUUGGGAUAAGCAUUGGAAACGGGGACUAAUACCGAAUAAAGGGGUAGUGGCUCGCUGCGUAUAAGCUUGGUGGUGGGGGGAUGGCCUACCACGGCGGUGACGGGUAGCCGGCCUGGGCGGGUGACCGGCCACUGUGAGACUGACAUACGUCCCAGACUCGCACUCGAGGCGGCAGUGGGGGCUAUUGCCCAAUGGGCGAAAGCCUCAUGCAGCGUCUCUGCGGGGGGGAUCAAGGCUUUCGGGUUGUAACCCUCUUUCGCUAUCGAAUGGGUAGGUGCAGAAGAAGCGCCGGCUAACUCCGUGCCAGCAGCCGCGGUAAUUC
rnacentral:rRNA from 1 species